UUCAGCUCCUCUCCGCCUUGCUGCCUUCCUGCCAAAGACUUUUGACGGCAACAUGAAGGUGGGGGGCUUCCUCUUCCUGGUGAUGCUCAUCAUUCUCAGCUUGGAAGUACAGGAACUCAAGGCUGCGGUGAGGCCACUGCAAUUGUUGGGUAGCUGCAUUAAUCUCUGCAGUGGUGACUGGGAUUGUGAUCCAGAAGAACGCUGUGUCAGCAAUGGGUGUGGCCACAUUUGUGUUCCAGUCUAAGGACAGAUGAAGACUUAUCUUAAGGUCAUCCUUCUCCAAUAAUUUCUCAUCACUUCCUAUCUUCAAAGAUGAGACUGGAACUCCUUGUCCA